rnacentral:piRNA from 1 species
GUCUGCCAACAAAAAGCCCACCUGG